rnacentral:snRNA from 1 species
CCACUGUGGCAGAGUAUACACUAAGGUAGAACAUUAUUGAAAAGAUUACAAUGGCCCCUAAUAAAGGAUGAUAUGCAAAUUCAUGAAGGAUUCUAUAUUUUA